rnacentral:rRNA from 1 species
GUGUCAGCAGCCGCGGUAAUACGGAGGAUCCGAGCGUUAUCCGGAAUUAUUGGGUUUAAAGGGUUCGUAGGCGGCCUUAUAAGUCAAAAAUAAAAUCUCUCAGCUCAACUGAGAACUUGCCUUUGAUACUGUAUGGCUUGAAUAAUAUUGAAGUAACUAAAAUAUAUAAUGUAGCGGUGAAAUGCAUAGAUAUUACAUGGAAUACCAAUUGCGAAGGCAGGUUACUAAUUAUUUAUUGACGCUGAUGAACGAAAGCGUGAGUAGCGAACAGGAUAAGAUACCCUGGUAGUCCACGCCGUAAACGAUGAUUACUCGACAUACGCGAUACACUGUGUGUGUCUGAGCGAAAGCAUUAAGUAAUCCACCUGGGAAGUACGAUCGCAAGAUUGAA